ACAUCGAUAUGGGGAAAGAGGUUCAUGCCAUACGAUAAUGUCUGUGGCUCAGAUUGGUGUAUAAAUUCUGACCGUGGACAAUAUGGUACUGAAUGAGCUUUAAUGGCACAAGUAUAAUCC
rnacentral:precursor_RNA from 12 species